rnacentral:lncRNA from 1 species
AUAUAAAACUAUUCAGAACCACACAGGUAAUUUGUGUACAGCUGUUUCCAGAGAGCUCGAUCCUCGCUUUUGGGGCUCUAGGGACUCCAAGUAAGGAGAAAAGGGUAUUCGCUGUCUCGUGAAAACUCGGCUUAAGGCCACUCAUUCCAGGGGGAAGAGAAUAGAGCAGGAAAAGCAACGUUUGGCUUUUGAUACGGAAACGUAUCAGACAAUAUCUUUUUAAAACUUCACAGUUACCCUCGUUUUAUAAAUGAGGAAACUGAGGCCCAGAGAAGUUAAGUGGGCCAUCCAAAGUUGCACAACAGAUAAGUGGCACAGUCAGGAUGCAAGCCAGCUGGGUGAGACAUCCAAGGUCGCGUGAGGCCUAGGAAAGGAGGGGGGUGGCGAGAUGGCAAUGCCAGGUGAAGUGAGCUUUGGUUGAAACGGGGCUUAUGACAGAAUAGCAUCUUACCUAUGAAAACUGGGCUUGCUCGGACACGAAGCCUGAGUCUCACAUGCCACCUGGUUUCACGUUGUGUGGGUUCUGAGGAGUCCAACAAUAAAUAGGGCAGUUGGGCUCACCCCAGAACAGCUACAAGCCCUCAGAGAUGGCCCGAAAUCGGACAGGCCCUGGAGUGAGGGUCUGGGCACUGCUCCAAGCAUCUGGAGUGGUCCUUAGAAGGAGCAACAGAGCUGUGGUUUGGGAGUUUUUCCUUCCUCAACCAAGACCCACGGCGGCGUGUUUAAAGGGUACAGGUAAGGAGCAAGGUGGGGUGAGGUGCAUGGUGAGGUGGGGGCGGUCCAGGAGGGGGUCAUUCCUGCCAGGCUGACCUCAGCUGGGUAAUGUGAUCAGCCUGUCAUGGUUCUGAGCUCUGAUUUGGGAAGAACAAAGGGGCCAGGCCCCUCUGCCUCCUCUAGCCCAGGAAUGCAGCUGGGGCCAGGCCGUGACCAAUCGGGAAUGCAGGUUGGGAGCGCAGCAAAUGCAGUUUGUACAGCGAGGCUUUCAUGCAUUGAUGGAGCCCGGCUCACAAAGCCAGGCUGACAUGCCCCUGCGCUUCCAGCUUUGAUAUCCCAGCCCCGCCUUGGGGGAGCCUUGAAUCCCCCAAGCUCCCUGGCCCUGACUGCCCAGCUGUGGCCCCUGAGGUGGAGGUGGGGUGGGGAGUGGAGGGUCCAAAUCCACCCCCCACCAACCCCAGCAGUGUUCCCAGCAUCUCCUCGGGCAUCUCUGUCCAUCGCAGAAGUCUGAGAGAUAGGCAGGGGAGAGAAGGCAGCCCCCGCCGAACCUCCUGCCUGCUCCUUUGGGCCGGCAGACACGGAUGCAUAGACAGACAGAUGUCCCAUGGGAGAGAAUGCCAGGCCUCAGGCAGAUGCUGCUCGGAACAGGUCAUGGAAACCUCUUGAGGCCACCCCCUCCAGGGAGAUGAAUCAUAUUGGGCUUGGGGAGGGGGGUCUGACUCCUGGGUUGAAGGCUGGAUGCCUUCUGCAUUCCAAAGUUCUUCUCCUCCCCUCCCCAGCCCUUCAUCUAUUCCCACUGGCCAGUUCUAUCAGUGUGGGGUCCUCCGGGCCUGCCCUCCUCUGUAUCCCAAUUAUCCACAGUCCCCUCCCCUCCUGCCUCCUCUACGCUUCCUGCACUUUCUCUUGUCCUACGUGUUAAUAGGAGCGGUGCUUUGCGAUUUAGGGAGGACAUUUAUACACGCUAAAUCAUUUGAUUCUUAGAAGAGCCCUGUGAAGUAGGUACUCUUACCCUAUUUUAUGCAGAAAUGGAAGAAAGAAGGGAGGAGGGGGAGACAUUUGGAGGCAAGAAGUUUAAGGAUGUUGGAUGGAAUGCUCACGUGGAUAUGACAGUCACUGUGGACAGUGGCAGGGGUAGAGAUGGAUAGGA